UUGACCUCGGAUCAGGUAGGGAUACCCGCUGAACUUAAGCAUAUAG
rnacentral:rRNA from 1 species